AGCGCAGUGGGGGAGCUCGGCCGUCCCCGUCGGUUUCAUACGCCGAAGAUCGUGGGUUCGAAUCCCACCUGCGCCA
rnacentral:tRNA from 1 species